rnacentral:rRNA from 1 species
GAUGAACGCUGGCGGCGUGCCUAACACAUGCAAGUCGAGCGAUUCUCUUCGGAGAAGAGCGGCGGACGGGUGAGUAACGCGUGGGUAACCUGCCCUGUACACACGGAUAACAUACCGAAAGGUAUGCUAAUACGAGAUAAUAUGCUUUUAUCGCAUGGUAGAAGUAUCAAAGCUUUUGCGGUACAGGAUGGACCCGCGUCUGAUUAGCUAGUUGGUAAGGUAACGGCUUACCAAGGCGACGAUCAGUAGCCGACCUGAGAGGGUGAUCGGCCACAUUGGAACUGAGACACGGUCCAAACUCCUACGGGAGGCAGCAGUGGGGAAUAUUGCACAAUGGGCGAAAGCCUGAUGCAGCAACGCCGCGUGAGCGAUG